GAUUUUUCUUGCUGUUCUCAGAUCUCCUGAACUUUGAGUUCUUCUCCCAUCACCAGGAUGCUGCUGACCUGCUCUCUGCUCUGCCCAGCCACUUAACUUAGUGGUGGAAUUUCUGCUGCCUUCACCAUUUCCUUCAAUUUAUUCUCCAUAGAAUCCUACCUCAGCUCUCACAAAGUCUCAGCUAUUCUUCGAGUUACUCCAGGACAGCAAAGAAUAAGUGAAGCCAAAACGCUGAUUUAGAAGCUUUGACCACACCAUCAGCUGCUCCAAACUGGCAGAGCUGAAAUAGGCUUCUCUUACCGCUGCUGAGGAUCUGGAUCCAGAAACGGAAAGGAAAAAGAAAUGGCUGAAGGAAAAGUUUUCUUUUGAGUGUGUUCAGCAGAUUUUGCCACAAGUUAAACCAUCAGGAUGCGGCACUUCUAACAAAUGUAAAUUAAAAAGCCUGCCUCUUCAAGCAGAAUGUGCUGUGCAUAAAAUGCUUUUACCAAAUAAUUCCAGCACUGCAAUAAUCCAUUUCGUGAUUUAAAAGCCUUGUAAAAACGUCAAAAUGGUUGGUUGGUUCUACCAUCUUUGUGCCAUCUAUUGCACUGAAUAAAUAAAGGGAAACACAAUUUAUUCA
rnacentral:lncRNA from 1 species